rnacentral:rRNA from 1 species
AUGCAAGUCGAACGGAAGUCGUUAUACUGAUUUUGAUAUGAACGUUGAACUUGUUCAAGGGGACUUGAUGAAGAUUUAUAACAAUGGCUUUAGUGGCGGACUGGUGAGUAAUACGUAAGCAACCUGCCUAUUAGAGGGGAACAACAGUUAGAAAUGACUGCUAAUACCGCAUAUGCCAUAAUGGAGACAUCUCCAUAGUGGGAAAGGAGUAAUCCGCUAAUAGAUGGGCUUACGGCUGAUUAGCUAGUUGGUGUGGUAACGGCAUACCAAGGCGACGAUCAGUAGCCGGAUUGAGAGAUUGAACGGCCACAUUGGGACUGAGAUACGGCCCAGACUCCUACGGGAGGCAGCAGUCGGGAAUAUUGCGCAAUGGAGGAAACUCUGACGCAGUGACGCCGCGUGCAGGAAGAAGGUUUUCGGAUUGUAAACUGCUUUAGACAGGGAAGAAGAAUGACAGUACCUGUAGAAUAAGCUCCGGCUAACUACGUGCC